rnacentral:rRNA from 1 species
GAUGAACGCUGGCGGCGUGCUUAACACAUGCAAGUCGAACGGAAAGGCUCCUGCUUGCAGGGGUACUCGAGUGGCGAACGGGUGAGUAACACGUGGGUGAUCUGCCCUGCACUUCGGGAUAAGCCUGGGAAACUGGGUCUAAUACCGGAUAGGACGAUGGUUUGCAUGCCAUUGUUUAAAGUUUUUCGGUGGGGGAUGAGUUCGCGGCCUAUCAGCUUGUUGUUGGGGUGAUGGCCUACCAAGGCGUCGACGGGUAGUCGGCCGGAGAGGGUGUACGGCAAAAUGGGGAGUGGGAUACGGCCCAGACUCCUACGGGAGGCAGAAGUGGGGAAUAUUGAACAAGGGGGGAAAGCCGGAUGAAGCGACGCGGGGUGGGGGAGGACGGCCUUGGGGUUGUAAACGCCUUUGGCUAGGGACGAAGCGGAAGGGACGGUACCGGGAGAAGAAGAACGGGCUAAUUACGU